UUGUUGAAGAAUGGUUCUUUGACACUUUCGCAAAAAGAUCCGUUCUUUAACGUUAUUUAGCAAAAAUCCAUUCCCUGGCAAUAAAGAUCGCUUCUUUUUAUAAUUAUGGAUUUUGGCUUAAUUAGCCGUGCUUCAAUUGAAUCUUUUCUUCAACCCUACUGUAAGAUCUGUUUCAGAAAGGUGAAAACAAGUUGAUUUUGGGUUCUGAUUGUUACAUGUUUUGUUAAUCUUAUUUAGAUUUUGACUUUUAAGAUCUAUUCAGUAAUUCUAGUUCUAUGCUAUUUUCCUGAGUAUCUGCUUUGUUUUCUUUGAAAACCUUCUCUAGUAUUGACAAGAUCUGAAUUUCUUUUCUUACACUUAGCUUUUCAUUAUUCUAACGUAAUCAAGAACAUAUAUUUAAGAUCUGUUUUGUUGAAGAUCGGUUCUUUUGCAAAAAAAUCCGUUUUUUUGGCAAUUCUGGGAUUUUGCUUGAUUAGCCUAUCAUGUUCUUCGAUUGAUUUUUUCUUCAAUUUGCUGUAAGAUUAUUCUCUUUUUUUGUGUUUUUCUUUUUGGAUUUCUGUUGUGACUUCUAAGUUCUAUGCUAUUUUCCUAAGCAUCGGUUUUACUUUCUUUGAAAACCAUUUCUAGUAUUGAUAAGAUCUGAAUUUCUUUCUUUGUGCUCAUGAAGAUUAUUACACUUAACUUUUCUUACUAUAGCGUAAACAAUUACAGAUUUUUAUUGUAUCUUGUUGUAGUUGAGAAACUCAUAUUUUCUUCUUUGAAAAUUGGUGCAUAUCUGAUAUAAUGAGAAUAUUUCCCUUGACUUUCUAAUGCUAUAAGUUUGAACAUACUAAACAUACAACUCAAUGACCAUAUUAUGCUUAUGGGUCAUGAUAAAGCUGAAAGUUUAAGCUGUUUACUAAUUUCUGUAAAUAGGUAUGAAAAAAUCAAAAUCAGUUUUCUCCAUUAAGGUUGGUUUUCCUCAUCUGCUGCUUGUCUUUCCUUUCCGCUUGUACCUGAUGAGUUGCCUUGCUCCUUCAAGAAAUUUUCCUUUUGCUCCUUCAAGAAAUUUUCCUCGUGCUCCUUCCAGAAGUUUCUUUUUUCUUCCUUUAGAACCUUUACUGGGUCUCUGGAUUUACCAAAAAUAUGAUGAAUCUCCAUUGACAUAUAUAGAAAUACUCAGAGUAGUAUAUUGUGGACCUAGUAGAAAACUAUAUCAUUCUGUGCUUAUACAAGAAUACAAUAAAAUCAUAGCAUAUGUUAUUUUAAUCUUAAAAAAAAACUGCAGAACAACAAAGAAUAUUUUCCUUUGUAUUAAAAAAAGAAUAGUGUCUUUUUUUUUUGGAUUACAUUAGAAUAUUUAACCAAAUGGAGCUUGUGUUGAGUGCCACUUCCUUCCCAAACAGAAAUUCUCCUUAUUUAGUCCAGCUGCUUUAAAACCCUUGUAGGUAGUAGGGAAAAGGGGCAUGAAGUAAGCUGGGAUGCUGGCCAAGAUGCUGUUAAUUAGGGUCAACCUGCCACGGGGAGAUGUUAUUUCUGCCACCUAUGGAGAGAGAUAUUGUCCUUUUUCUUCACUAUCCAAGUCUUGUCCUCAAACUUCAAAUCUUCUGGUAUUUUUCAAUGUAGUCAAUAAAUCUGUUACUGUUCUUUUUUCUGCUAAUUAGUAACGUUCCUCCUUUACUGUUUGUGGUAAUUCUUUAUACCAUAAACCUACACUACCUUGCAUUGUUCCAUGCAGAAUCCUUGUGCUCUUUAAACAUCCACUUCUUCCUUAAGAUGUUUUAUUUAGUUCUAAUUUAGAAUACGAACCAAUUAAGGACAAAGAGCAAUAACCUUACCUCAAGAAUUAUAUAUGAAAUUUGAUAAAGUACAAAAGGCAAUAACAAAGUCUAGAAUUUCAGUACAAAGAAGAAUAAGUUAUGCAGGUAGUAGAACAUUAAGAAUAGGAUAUAAACCUUAAGGGAUAGAACAAGGUUUUUGAUCUAACUAAAAAUAAUAUCAUUGAAGUACAUUGAACCAUCUUACUUCUUCUUUUCGUAGACCAGCAUGAAGAUUCUUCUAUCUGAAUGGUCGUGGAAAAAGAAAUGUUUGCCCAAGCUGAAAGAUAAAAAAUGUUGAGUUAUUAGUCCAGGACAUGGUGC
rnacentral:lncRNA from 1 species